UGGACAUCACUCUAUUUAUGUGAUGUGAAGGUUAAACUCUGUUAAACGUUGGAGAACAGAGAAGACCCCAGUACAAACAUCACACACCAUGUUCUCUACAUCUCUACUGCUCCUGCUGGCAGCUGCUUCCUAUGUGCAUGGUGAGGAACUGACUCAGCCUGCUUCCAUGACAGUCCAGCCAGGACAGAGUCUCUCCAUCAACUGCAAGGUUUCAUAUUCAGUUACGAGCUAUCAUACACAUUGGAUUCGACAACCUGCAGGAAAAACUCUGGAGUGGAUUGGGUACAUCAGUGGCGGUGGGAGUCUAUAUUACAGUGACAAACUGAAAAACAAGUUCAGCAUCUCCAGAGACACGUCUACUAACACAAUAACAAUUCGAGGACAGAACAUGCAGACUGAAGACACAGCUGUGUAUUACUGCGCUGGAGGCCCCACACAGAGGACACAGCUGUGUAUUACUGCGCACGAACCACAGUAG